CCGCGGUAAUUCCAGCUCCAAUAGCGUAUAUUAAAGUUGUUGCAGUUAAAAAGCUCGUAGUUGAAUUUCGGGAUCAAGGGAUCGGUCAUGCCUUGGUAUGUACUGGUCUUAUUGGUUCUCACCUUCUAAAGAACCAUGAUGUCAUUCAUUUGAUGUUAUGGGGAAUUAGGACUGUUACCUUGAAAAAAUUAGAGUGUUUAAAGCAAGCUUACGCUUGAAUACAUUAGCAUGGAAUAAUGAAAUAGGACAUCAGAUUCUAUUUUGUUGGUUUCUAGGAUCGAUGUAAUGAUUAAUAGGGAUAGUUGGGGGCAUUAGUAUUCAAUUGUCAGAGGUGAAAUUCUUGGAUUUAUUGAAGACUAACUACUGCGAAAGCAUUUGCCAAGGAUGUUUUCAUUAAUCAAGAACGAAAGUUAGGGGAUCGAAGACGAUCAGAUACCGUCGUAGUCUUAACCAUAAACUAUGCCGACUAGGGAUCGGAUGAUGUUAAUUUUUUAAUGACUCAUUCGGCACCUUACG
rnacentral:misc_RNA from 1 species